rnacentral:rRNA from 1 species
UACGAAGGGUGCAAGCGUUACUCGGAAUUACUGGGCGUAAAGCGUGCGUAGGUGGUCGUUUAAGUCUGUCGUGAAAGCCCUGGGCUCAACCUGGGAAUUGCGAUGGAUACUGGGCGACUAGAGUGUGGUAGAGGAUAGUGGAAUUUCCGGUGUAGCAGUGAAAUGCGUAGAGAUCGGAAGGAACAUCUGUGGCGAAGGCGACUAUCUGGGCCAACACUGACACUGAGGCACGAAAGCGUGGGGAGCAAACAGG